rnacentral:rRNA from 1 species
CCUACGGGUGGCAGCAGUAGGGAAUCUUCCACAAUGGGCGAAAGCCUGAUGGAGCAACGCCGCGUGGGUGAAGAAGGUCUUCGGAUCGUAAAACCCUGUUGUUAGAGAAGAAAGUGCGUGAGAGUAACUGUUCACGUGUCGACGGUAUCUAACCAGAAAGCCACGGCUAACUACGUGCCAGCAGCCGCGGUAAUACGUAGGUGGCAAGCGUUAUCCGGAUUUAUGGGGCGUAAAGGGAACGCAGGCGGUCUUUUAAGUCUGAUGUGAAAGCCUUCGGCUUAACCGGAGUAGGGCCUUGGAACCUGGGAGACUUGCGUGCAGCAGCGGUGAGUGGCACUCCAUGUGUAGCGGUGACAUGCGUAGAUAUCUGG